rnacentral:RNase_P_RNA from 1 species
UCAGGCGGCCGGGCAGCCGCGUCAGGGCCGUGGCAACACGAGUGCCUGCCGAGGAAAGUCCGGGCUCCACGAAACAGGGUGGCGGGUAACGCCCGCCCGGCGAAGGCUUUUUAUCUGCGCAGCAGACAGGGGGCCCCAAGUCGAGGGACAGUGCCACAGAGAACAGACCGCCAGACCCCCUCGGGGGCGAGGUAAGGGUGAAACGGUGCGGUAAGAGCGCACCGCGCGCGUGGUAACACAAGCGGCAUGGCAAACCCCACCCGGAGCAAGACCGAAUAGGGACGGCGCGUUCCGCAAGGAACAGGCGUGUUUCGCGCCAGUCGUCCGGGUUGGUUGCUGGAGCGGCAUGGCAACAUGUCGCCAAGAGGAAUGGCUGCCGCUGGUCGCCGCGUCCUUAUCGGAUACGAGCGCCCUUCACAAAACCCGGCUUACAGGCCGCCUGACACU